rnacentral:rRNA from 1 species
AGUGAACGCUGGCGGUAGGCCUAACACAUGCAAGUCGAACGGCAGCACAGUAAGAGCUUGCUCUUAUGGGUGGCGAGUGGCGGACGGGUGAGGAAUACAUCGGAAUCUACUUUUUCGUGGGGGAUAACGUAGGGAAACUUACGCUAAUACCGCAUACGACCUACGGGUGAAAGCAGGGGAUCUUCGGACCUUGCGCGAUUGAAUGAGCCGAUGUCGGAUUAGCUAGUUGGCGGGGUAAAGGCCCACCAAGGCGACGAUCCGUAGCUGGUCUGAGAGGAUGAUCAGCCACACUGGAACUGAGACACGGUCCAGACUCCUACGGGAGGCAGCAGUGGGGAAUAUUGGACAAUGGGCGCAAGCCUGAUCCAGCCAUACCGCGUGGGUGAAGAAGGCCUUCGGGUUGUAAAGCCCUUUUGUUGGGAAAGAAAUCCAGCCGGCUAAUACCUGGUUGGGAUGACGGUACCCAAAGAAUAAGCACCGGCUAACUUCGUGCCAGCAGCCGCGGUAAUACGAAGGGUGCAAGCGUUACUCGGAAUUACUGGGCGUAAAGCGUGCGUAGGUGGUUGUUUAAGUCUGUUGUGAAAGCCCUGGGCUCAACCUGGGAACUGCAGUGGAAACUGGACAACUAGAGUGUGGUAGAGGGUAGCGGAAUUCCCGGU